AAUAUUCAUAAGAGGUGUAAGGUUUUACAUAAGCAAUGGUGGAGACAAAUUUCAGAUUUGUAUUUUUUCUGACUUUUAUAAAAACAUGUAAACAGGUAACACUUGCUUCAUAUGAGUUCCUAAUCCAAAGGUCAUAAACAGAACAGGGCAAUACUGGCCGUAAUGCAUGGAUGGAUCUGUCGUAGAGUUGACGAGGAAAGGUAACACUAGACCACUGAAAACAGAAUUAUAAGUUCAGUCUAGGUGGCCGAGUGGUCUAGAGCGAUGAACACAGUGCAGGCGGUGUUGUCUCGAUAUUCCAUUAGCAUGAGUUCGAAUCCCGGCGAGAGAAAAACAAAAAUUUGAAUAUUGGUGUGCUGUUAUGUAGAAUAGUUAUGUAUAUAUAUACAAGUCUAAAUUGAAAACAACGUUCAAACCAAUGAUUGCGUUGAGUAAAAACCGCAAUUUUUAUACGUGUGCAUGCAAAACAAAUUUCUUGGUAGAAGGGUCUAAAUACAACUGAAACAACAUUAUAUAUAUUGGGCAUUGCAUGUCCAGAAGGAGUGUUGUGUGAAAUGGGUUUAUCCGGGUCAACAAGAAUGUAUGGUCUCCCUCUGCCAGCUGCAACUUCUGAAGUGAAAAAAAAUAUAAAUAAAUGAAUGUUAGUAGUGCAACACGUGUUUGUUUUUGGAACUGAAUGACCUUUAAAAAGUGUAACAUUUAUAUACUUAGAGCAAUCGCGUGACGGUGAGCACUAUUGACAAUCUUACGAAGCGCUUAUAGGGAGCAACCAUUUAACUUCAAGGGGGGUGGGUUAUGGUUUUUUUUGUCUGAGUCAGAAUUUUUUUUUCGCCCAAAGCGCGAACAUUUUUUUUAAUUUUUCGACGCUAUCAAUCAAAUUAUUUUUUUUCAAAAUUUAACACUAAAAGGUACAAUGUAUGGGGAAAAUCUGGAUUCAGAAUAUUUUUUUUGUCAUCUGCUUGACCACAAUAUUUUUUUUCAUCAAAUUGGGUAACAGAAUAUUAUUUUUAGGAAAAAACCAUAAUCCCCCUUGAAGUUAAAUGGUCGUUUCAUCCCUUCCGUAAGUUUUACGGACGCCAUCACGAGUUGGUUGACCAUUAUGGAAUAUCCGUUUCACAGAUGAUAGCGGAUAUGUUCCUAAUGUCGUAACUACAAUCCCGUCCCCUUUUCCCGAAUGUGACCUACCGAUUUAGACUUAUUACGGGGUCUGUACUAACAUGAGCAACACGACGGGUGCCACAUGUGGAGCAGGAUCUGCUUACCCCAUCCGGAGCACCUGAGAUCACCCCCAGUUUUUGGUGGGGUUCGUGUUGCUCAGUCUUUAGUUUUCUAUGUUUUGUGUGCUAUUGUUUGUCUGUUGGUCUUUUUCAUUUUUAGCCAUGGCGUUGUCAGUUUAUUUUCGACUUAUGAAAUUGAAUGUCCCUCUGGUAUCUUUCGCCUCUCUUUUUCUUAAAUCUGCUGGAUAGUUGUUUCAUUGGCAAUCAUACAACAUCUCCUUAUUUUUUUCAAAUCACCCAAGUAUAAAAGAAAUUUUGAGUAACAGAAAGCAUGUUUCUGAAUUUGAAUUUAAGAAAGUAUCUAACGAAAAUGUCAAUAAAAUCUUGAAUAAAAUAAACAUCAAGAAGGCUACAGGAGCUGAUGGUAGUCCAGCAAAAAUAUUAAAAAAUUGUAAAUCUUAUAUUGCACCACAGCUGACAACUCUUGUAAAUUUGUCAAUUGAAAAUAACUGUUUCCCUGAUAAACUUAAAGAAGCCCAAGUGACCCGCUUCAUAAAAAGAGUGACCCAUUAUUAAAAACAAACUAUAGACCAGUUAGUGUCUUACCCAUAUUUUCUAAAAUCUUUGAAAAAAUAUAUUAAAUUCAACUAACUGAAUACUUUGAUAAAAUAUUUAAUCCUUUUUUGUGUGCUUUUAGACGUGGACAUGGAUGUCAGACCACACUUAUCAGAGUGUUAGAAGAUUGGCGUGAAGCUCUUGAUAAAAACCAGUACAUUGCAGCGGUAUUAAUGGAUCUCUCUAAGGCUUUUGACUGCCUGCCUCACAAUAUCUUGCUAGAUAAAUUAUCAGUAUAUGGUGUAUCCCCCCAUGCAGUUGCUCUUUUAAAGUCCUAUUUAUCUAAUCGUAAACAACAAAUUAAGGUCAACAAUGUUCUGAGUGGUUGGGCUGACAUCCAUAAAGGCGUACCACAGGGUUCUAUACUAGGGCCAUUGUUGUUUAACAUAUUUAUAAAUGAUAUUUUUCUUUUUGUUAAAAAUGGUAGUUUAUAUAACUAUGGAGAUGACAAUACUUUGUCUUUCUGUACUACAGAUUUUGAUUUAUUAAUUUCAACUUUGGAAUCUGAGUCAAAAAUACUUAUUGAGUGGUUCCGGGUGAAUAAAAUGCAAGCAAAUCCCGACAAGUUUCAAGUUUUGGCUGUUGGCAAAAAGACCUUUGAACAAAACCCAUCUAUACAUAUUCAAAACUCGAACCUUACAUGUGAAAAAACAGUAAAAUUAUUAGGCAUUGAAAUUGACUAUCAGUUAAAUUUUGAUGUUCAUAUCAGCUCAAUCUGUAGGAGGGCAUCACAGCAAUUAAAUGUUUUAAAACAUUUGGGCUCAGUUUUGGAUAGACUUAGUAAACUUACUAUUUUUCAUACCUUUAUUCUUAGUAAUUUUAAUUUUUGUCCUUUGGCAUGUCAUUUUUGCACUGAGAAAAAUUCCAAAAAAUUAGAAAAGGUGCGGGAAAGAGCACUCCGUUUUGUAUAUGAGGAUUUUACCAGCCCUACGAGGACCUCUUACUUAAAACUAAGGUGCCCUCCUUGCAGAUUAGACGGAUUAGAACAAUGGCUCUAGAAACUUUUAAGAUUAUAAAUAAUAUAGCUCCUGUGUGCUUACAAAAUUUGGUGAGUGUCAAAAAAUCUAAGUAUUCUUUCAGGUAUGUAAAUAUUCUGGAUGUUCCACAAGUAAAGUCAACCCGUUACGGUAAAAAAUCUUUCAAAUUUGCUGCCGCUACUUUAUGGAACAGCCUUCCAAACCAUUUCAGGACUGAAAAUAGUUUUUCACAUUUUAAAAGUCUUGUUAAGUCCUGGAACGGUUUGAAAUGUCGCUGUUCUGCUUGCAGAUAAUUCUUGAGAUGUUUAUUAUUUAUGUUGCUUUUGAUUGCUUUGGUCUAGCAUGUUUUAUUUCAUUUUAAAUUUGUUGCUAAUUUUUUUAUUGCAUGCUAUGUAAGUGAGAUUUAACUUCGUAUAACAGGUUGUUUUAUAUGUCAAAUUAGACUGUUUUUAUGUUAUGUAUAUGUUUUUAUAUUCGGUCAAAAGCUCAUUAGAGCUUGUGUUAUGUCUUUUAACUUAUGCCGAAUCAAAAUAAAGUUUUCUUAUCUUA